CUAGUAAUCGUAGAUCAGCAUGCUACGGUGAAUACGUUCCCGGGCCUUGUACACACCGCCCGUCACACCAUGAGAGUUGGAAAUACCCGAAGCCUGUGAGCUAACAGUAAUGAGGCAGCAGUCGAAGGUAGAGCCAAUGAUUGGGGUGAAGUCGUAACAAGGUAUC
rnacentral:rRNA from 1 species